rnacentral:rRNA from 1 species
AUUGAACGCUGGCGGCAGGCCUAACACAUGCAAGUCGAGCGGUAGAGAGAAGCUUGCUUCUCUUGAGAGCGGCGGACGGGUGAGUAAUGCCUAGGAAUCUGCCUGGUAGUGGGGGAUGACGUUCGGAAACGGACGCUAAUACCGCAUACGUCCUACGGGAGAAAGCAGGGGACCUUCGGGCCUUGCGCUAUCAGAUGAGCCUAGGUCGGAUUAGCUAGUUGGUGGGGUAAUGGCUCACCAAGGCGACGAUCCGUAACUGGUCGGAGAGGAUGAUCAGUCACACUGGAACUGAGACGCGGUCCAGACUCCUACGGGAGGCAGCAGUGGGGAAUAUUGGACAAUGGGCGAAAGCCUGAUCCAGCCAUGCCGCGUGUGUGAAGAAGGUCUUCGGAUUGUAAAGCACUUUAAGUUGGGAGGAAGGGCAGUAAAUUAAUACUUUGCUGUUUUGACGUUACCGACAGAAUAAGCACCGGCUAACUCUGUGACAGCCGCCGCCGUAA